GACGAACGCUGGCGGCGUGCUUAACACAUGCAAGUCGAACGGAAAGGCCCUGCUUUUGUGGGGUGCUCGAGUGGCGAACGGGUGAGUAACACGUGAGUAACCUGCCCCUGACUUUGGGAUAACUUCAGGAAACUGGGGCUAAUACCGGAUAGGAGCUCCUGCUGCAUGGUGGUGGUUGGAAAGUUUCGGCGGUUGGGGAUUGACUCGCGGCUUAUCAGCUUGUUGGUGGGGUAGUGGCUUACCAAGGCUUUGACGGGUAGCCGGCCUGAGAGGGUGACCGGCGACAUGAGUACUGAGCUACGGCGCAGACGCCUACGGGAGGCAGCGGGGGGAAAAAUUGCACAGUGGGCGGAAGCCUGAUGCAGCAGCGCAGCGAGCGGGAUGACGGCCUUCGGGUGGUAAACCGCUUUGGCCUGUGACGAAGCGUGAGUGACGGUAAUGGGUAAAGAAGCACCGGCUAACUACGUG
rnacentral:rRNA from 1 species